GGGCCGAUGGUUUAGUGGUAUAAUGCCACGUUCGCAACGUGGAUGACGAGGGUUCGAUUCCCUCUCGGUCCA
rnacentral:tRNA from 1 species